rnacentral:rRNA from 1 species
AAUGCGAUAAGUAAUGUGAAUUGCAGAAUUCAGUGAAUCAUCGAAUCUUUGAACGCACCUUGCGCCCCUUGGUAUUCCGAGGGGCACGCCUGUUCGAGUGUCGUGA